rnacentral:rRNA from 1 species
AUUGAACGCUGGCGGCAGGCUUAACACAUGCAAGUCGAGCGGGGUGAUGGUGCUUGCACUAUCACUUAGCGGCGGACGGGUGAGUAAUGCUUAGGAAUCUGCCUAUUAGUGGGGGACAACAUCUCGAAAGGGAUGCUAAUACCGCAUACGUCCUACGGGAGAAAGCAGGGGAUCACUUGUGACCUUGCGCUAAUAGAUGAGCCUAAGUCGGAUUAGCUAGUUGGUGGGGUAAAGGCCUACCAAGGCGACGAUCUGUAGCGGGUCUGAGAGGAUGAUCCGCCACACUGGGACUGAGACACGGCCCAGACUCCUACGGGAGGCAGCAGUGGGGAAUAUUGGACAAUGGGGGAACCCUGAUCCAGCCAUGCCGCGUGUGUGAAGAAGGCCUUAUGGUUGUAAAGCACUUUAAGCGAGGAGGAGGCUCUUUUGGUUAAUACCCAAGAUAAGUGGACGUUACUCGCAGAAUAAGCACCGGCUAACUCUGUGCCAGCAGCCGCCGUAA